rnacentral:rRNA from 1 species
UACGGAGGAUGCGAGCGUUAUCCGGAUUUAUUGGGUUUAAAGGGUGCGUAGGCGGACUAUCAAGUCAGCGGUAAAAUUGAGAGGCUCAACCUCUUCCCGCCGUUGAAACUGGUGGUCUUGAGUGGAUGAGAAGUACGCGGAAUGCGUGGUGUAGCGGUGAAAUGCAUAGAUAUCACGCAGAACUCCGAUUGCGAAGGCAGCGUACCGGCAUCCAACUGACGCUGAGGCACGAAAGCGUGGGGAUCAAACAGG